GGGUUAGUGGUCUAGUGGUAUGAUUCUCGCUUUGGGUGCGAGAGGUCCGGGGUUCGAUU
rfam:Trichuris suis C392483.1, whole genome shotgun sequence.